GGAUGGUGGCUCAGGGGUAGAGUGCUCGCCUAGCACUUGCGAGGCCCUGGAUUCAAUCCUCAGCACCA
rnacentral:tRNA from 1 species